rnacentral:rRNA from 1 species
AACGAACGCUGGCGGCAGGCCUAACACAUGCAAGUCGAGCGCACCUUCGGGUGAGCGGCGGACGGGUUAGUAACGCGUGGGAACGUACCCUUUUCUACGGAAUAGCCUUUGGAAACGAAGAGUAAUACCGUAUACGCCCUUUGGGGGAAAGAUUUAUCGGAGAAGGAUCGGCCCGCGUUAGAUUAGAUAGUUGGUGGGGUAACGGCCUACCAAGUCUACGAUCUAUAGCUGGUUUUAGAGGAUGAUCAGCAACACUGGGACUGAGACACGGCCCAGACUCCUACGGGAGGCAGCAGUGGGGAAUCUUAGACAAUGGGCGCAAGCCUGAUCUAGCCAUGCCGCGUGUGUGAAGAAGGCCUUAGGGUUGUAAAGCACUUU